CAGUCGCCGCGGUAAUACGUAGGGUCCGAGCGUUGUCCGGAAUUAUUGGGCGUAAAGGGCUCGUAGGCGGUUUGUUGCGUCGGGAGUGAAAACCCAGGGCUUAACUUUGGGCUUGCUUUCGAUACGGGCAGACUUGAGGCAUUGAGGGGAGAACGGAAUUCCUGGUGUAGCGGUGAAAUGCGCAGAUAUCAGGAGGAACACCGGUGGCGAAGGCGGUUCUCUGGCAAUGUUCUGACGCUGAGGAGCGAAAGUGUGGGGAGCGAACAGGAUUAGAUACCCGGGUAGUCCCUGUCUCUUAUAC
rnacentral:rRNA from 1 species